UACGGAGGAUCCAAGCGUUAUCCGGAUUUAUUGGGUUUAAAGGGUGCGUAGGCGGAUUGAUAAGUUAGAGGUGAAAUGUCCGAGCUCAACUCGGGAACUGCCUCUAAUACUGUUGAUCUCGAGAGUAGAUGCGGUAGGCGGAAUGUAUGGUGUAGCGGUGAAAUGCUUAGAGAUCAUACAGAACACCGAUUGCGAAGGCAGCUUACCAAUCUAUAUCUGACGUUGAGGCACGAAAGCGUGGGGAGCAAACAGG
rnacentral:rRNA from 1 species